UGGCGGCGCCUCGAACCUUCCGGUGCGGAGCGGGCUAUCAAUGGGGGGGCGGGAUGCAGCGGUCACGUGGCGGAGGCCGGGCCUUCUCUUUUCCGCUCGCCAGGGAGGUGAUGCCCUCUAGCAGCAGCAGAGGGCGCCGGUUCUACAGCCUCGCCGGGGAAGGGUCGGGGAAAGCGCUGGAGUUGCUGCAACCCGUCGCGAGGAGUUUCCCGUUCCUUCGACUUAUUUAUUCAUAGGGUUCCUGCAAAGGAGAAACGGCUCCGUGUUAGCGCUUCCUCCCGCUGGGGCCACUUUUCCCUUCGAAGAAGAGGCAGCGCUGCCUAAACACCGAAGCUCUGUUCUGCAGCCGAGACCGGCAGGGGAUCUGUGUGCUGUCACCAAGGGCUACGGAGCCGGACACGGACGUGUGAAAACCGGCGAAGAAAGUGACGGUGACAAAUAGCUGUUCGAAGUAUACCCCGUUGUUUUUUUCUUCUUGUUAUGAAGGCAAGCCACUAAAUUAACACUAUACAGACAGGUUUUAGUGGAUUUUCUUUUUAAAAGAGGGUAGGAGGUUCUGCAGGAAAAAGGUCAAACCCAGUGCUUGAAUGUAUCAGGCUGGAAGUAAGGCUGUCUACACAAAGCAUCACACUGCUGUGAUUCUAACUGUACUGCAAUAUAAUUUCCUACACAAA